CAUCACUCCACACACUGAAGUCUCAGCCAACAUCAUGGCAGCAGUAGGACUCCUCUGGCUUGUGAUCGCCACAGCAUCCAUCCUUGUCAAAUGUGAUGAUGCAAAAUCUGAAGACAAAAAGAUCUACCCAGCAAAGAUCUUUGGACCAUCUAAUGUGACUGAAGGGGUAAAUGUCCAUUUUAAAUGUAGCAUUACUGGCAUCGGAGGACCUGAGGACAAGUUAAAUGUUUACCUUUGCAAGAAUGGAGUUGGGAUAAGAAUUGCGAAGCUGGAGAAAGGUGAAAAUGAUGCUAUUUUCACCAUGAAGGAUGUUACAAGAGAAGACUCAGGCAACUACAGCUGUGUGUACACCAGAGAUAAACCUGUACCCAGUCACUUGAAGUCAA